GAUGAACGCUGGCGGCGUGCCUAAUACAUGCAAGUCGAGCGAACAGACGAGGAGCUUGCUCCUCUGACGUUAGCGGCGGACGGGUGAGUAACACGUGGAUAACCUACCUAUAAGACUGGGUUAACUUCGGGAAACCGGAGCUAAUACCGGAUAACAUGUUGAACCGCAUGGUUCAACAGUGAAAGACGCUCUUGCUGUCACUUAUAGAUGGAUCCGCGCCGCCUUAGCUAGUUGGUAAGGUAACGGCUUACCAAGGCAACGAUGCGUAGCCGACCUGAGAGGGUGAUCGGGCCCACUGGCACUGAGACACGGUCCAGCCUCCUCGGGGAGGCAGCAGUAGGGAAUCUUGCGCAAUGGGCGAAAGCCUGACGGAGCAACGCCGCGUGAGUGAAGAAGGUCUUCGGAUCGUAAAACUCUGUUAUUAGGGAAGAACAAAUGUGUAAGUAACUAUGCACGUCUUGACGGUACCUAAUCAGAAAGCCACGGCUAACUACGUG
rnacentral:rRNA from 1 species